rnacentral:rRNA from 1 species
GGAGGAAUAUUGGGCAAUGGGGGAAACCCUGACCCAGCAACGCCGCGUGAAGGAAGAAGGCCUUCGGGUUGUAAACUUCUGUGACAGGGGACGAAAGAAAUGACGGUACCCUGAGAGGAAGCCACGGCAAACUACGUGCCAGCAGCCGCGGUAAUACGUAGGUGGCGAGCGUUGUCCGGAAUCACUGGGCGUAAAGGGCGCGUAGGCGGCUUGGCAAGUCGCAUGGGAAGGACCAGGGCUCAACCCUGGGAGG